CUAUACUGCAAGUCGAGCGAACUGAUUAGCAAGCUUGCUUCUAUGACUGUUAGCGGCGGACAGGUGUGACGUAACACUGUGGGSAACCUGCCUGUAAGAAUGGGAUAACUUCGGGAAACCUGAAGCUAAUAUCCGGAUAKGAUCUUCUCCUUCAUGGGAGUAGUGAUAUGAUAUAUGUAGUGGUUUCUGGCAUAGUGCACUCUACAGAUGGUGCCCGUCUGGUGCGAUGUAGCUAGUGUGGUGAGGUAAGCGGACUCACCGAAGGCAACGAUGCAUAGCCGACCUGAGAGGGUGAUCGGCCACACUGGGACUGARAUCACGGCCGCARACUCCUACGGGAGGCAGUCUAGUAGAGAGUAGAGUCUUCCAGCAAUGGACGAAAGUCUGACGGAGCAACGCCGCGUGAGUGAUGAAGGCUUUCUGCGGUCGUAUAAACUCUGAUUGUUAGGGAAGAACAAGUACSAGAGUAACUGCUCGUACCUUGACGGUACCUAACCASAAAGCCACGGCUAACUACGUGCCUAGUCAGCCAGCGGUAAUACGUAGGUGAGCGAUAGCGAUUAUCCGGUAAUUAUUGGUGCGUGAAAGCGCGCGCAGGCGGUUUCUUAAUUCUGAUGUGARAKCCCA
rnacentral:rRNA from 1 species